rnacentral:rRNA from 1 species
GAUGAACGCUGGCGGCGUGCCUAAUACAUGCAAGUCGAGCGAACAGACGAGGAGCUUGCGCCUCUGACGUUAGCGGCGGACGGGUGAGUAACACGUGGAUAACCUACCUAUAAGACUGGGAUAACUUCGGGAAACCGGAGCUAAUACCGGAUAAUAUAUUGAACCGCAUGGUUCAAUAGUGAAAGACGGUUUUGCUGUCACUUAUAGAUGGAUCCGCGCCGCAUUAGCUGGUUGGUAAGGUAACGGCUUACCAAGGCAACGAUGCGUAGCCGACCUGAGAGGGUGAUCGGCCACACUGGAACGGAGACACGGUCCAGACUCCUACGGGAGGCAGCAGUAGGGAAUCUUACGCAAUGGGCGAAAGCUUGACGGAGCAACGCCGCGUGAGUGAUGAAGGUCUUCGGAUCGUAAAACUCUGUUAUUAGGGAAGAACAAAUGUGUAAGUAACUAUGCACGUAUUGACGGUACCUAAUCAGAAAGCCACGGCUAACUACGUG